rnacentral:rRNA from 1 species
AUUGAACGCUGGCGGCAGGCCUAACACAUGCAAGUCGAGCGAGCGGCGGACGGGUGUGUAAUGUAUGGGGACUGCCCGAUAGAGGGGGAUAACUACUGGAAACGGUAGCUAAUACCGCAUACUAUCGGAUAACCCAUAUGGGAUUAGCUAGUAGGUGAGGUAAUGGCUCACCUAGGAGACGAUCCCUAGCUGGUCUGAGAGGAUGAUCAGCCACACGGGAACGUAGACAAGGGCCUGACUCCGACGGAGGCAGCAGGGGGGAAUAUUGCACAAUGGGCGCAAGCCUGAUGCAGCCGUGCAGCGUGUAUGAAGAAGGCCCUAGGGUUGUAAAGUACGUUCAGUCGGGAGGCGUUACCGACAGAAGAAGCACCGGCUAACUCCGUGCCAGCAGCCGCGGUAAUUC